UGGCUAACUCCUACGGGAGGCAGCAGUGGGGAAUAUUGGACAAUGGGCGCAAGCCUGAUCCAGCCAUACCGCGUGGGUGAAGAAGGCCUUCGGGUUGUAAAGCCCUUUUGUUGGGAAAGAAAAGCAAUCGAUUAAUACUCGGUUGUUCUGACGGUACCCAAAGAAUAAGCACCGGCUAACUUCGUGCCAGCAGCCGCGGUAAUACGAAGGGUGCAAGCGUUACUCGGAAUUACUGGGCGUAAAGCGUGCGUAGGUGGUUGUUUAAGUCUGUUGUGAAAGCCCUGGGCUCAACCUGGGAAUUGCAGUGGAUACUGGGCGACUAGAGUGUGGUAGAGGGUAGUGGAAUUCCCGGUGUAGCAGUGAAAUGCGUAGAGAUCGGGAGGAACAUCCAUGGCGAAGGCAGCUACCUGGACCAACACUGACACUGAGGCACGAAAGCGUGGGGAGCAAACAGGAUUAGAAACCCCUGUAGUCCAGCUGG
rnacentral:rRNA from 1 species